AGCUAGAAUAUCCUUGCUGAGGUCAUAGUAAGGAUACCAACAACAUCUCCAUUUUCAGAUCAAGGAGAUAAAUUACAAAUCUUAAAAAGAAUAAAAUAUGGGAAAAAAGCAAGCAGCCCUUGGGAGACGGUCAAUACACAUAAUUGCAAGCUAUGGGGCACUUCUAACACGGCAGCCAACACCACCAUCUGCCAAACAAACCUUCAAGGCAGCAGCAUUACUACUUAUAAUACAACACCUUAGCACAAGAUUAAAACCCUACUAGCAUCCCAAACUCCUUCCUAUUUCAAGAAAUGAUUUCAGCACGGCAACAAGAGUGGCUAAAAUUGUUUGUUUUUUUCUUUCACCAAUGGCGUCACUCACACUAUUAGCAUGCAACUGAGCAAGUGGCAGGUUUUACUGGAGCCAAGAUAUUAUCCGCUGCAGAUUGGAAACCAGCAGCAUUUUCAAGGCGUUCCCAUGUCAAUCUCCGUUUCUCAGCUUUCAGGCUUAACAUUGAAUCUUCCUCUUCCAACUUAGAUCGGCAGGCAAGCACUAGCUCUUCAUCCAUCUCACAGAACAUCUUCCUAAUGUUCUGUGUUAGAUUGAGAACUGC
rnacentral:misc_RNA from 1 species